rnacentral:rRNA from 1 species
CCCUUAGAUGUCCUGGGCCGCACGCGCGUUACACUGAUGCAUUCAACGAGCUUAUAACCUUGGCCGAGAGGCCUGGGCAAUCUUGUUAACGUGCAUCGUGAUAGGGAUAGAUUAUUGAAAUUAUUAAUCUUGAACGAGGAAUUCCUAGUAAACGCAGAUCAUCAAUCUGCAUUAAUUACGUCCCUGCCCUUUGUACACACCGCCCGUCGCACCUACCGAUUGGAUGGUCCGGUGAAGCCUCGGGAUUGUGGUUCUUGCCGCUUUAUUGUGGCGUGACCGCGAGAACUUGUCUAAACCUUAUCAUCUAGAGGAAGGUGAAGUCGUAACA